UCGGGAUCCCCGCGCACCUCACUCUCUCCUUCUCGUCCGGGCCGCACUGGGGCGCGGCAGCUCUGCCGCAGUCGCACACGGUGCGCAGCCUGGAGCGGGCCCUGGAGGAGGCGGGCAGCUCGGGCAUCCUGUGCCUGAGCGGGAGGAAGCUGCGCGACUUCCCCGGCAGCGGCUGCGACCUGAGCGACACCACGCAAGCAGGGCACCUCAUGCAUGGCUACCGAGAAUCUCCUACAUUGGUGAGUGGAAAGAAACCUUUGGUGUGUUGCAGUCGCAUGCAGCCUGGUGGGCUGAGAGAAAGUUCCUGUCAGUCUUAUUGCAGCAGCAGAAGCUGGGGGAUCCCUGGCUGUUUUCUCCUUUUCUCUUGAAGAACUUUUGAACAGCUGCAAGAAUGAUUUUGUAGCCAGAAGACUGCGUGCUGGUUUUGGCCAUUUUAGGGUAUCGAAUUCACAAGCGUAAGUGGCAAUGUCUAUUUUAGCCCACUGUUAGUUUAAACACCCCAGAAUGCUAUUUCUCCUUGGUGCAAAUGGUCGUAUAGCUGAGGAUAAGUAAGGCCAUAAAUGUGAUACAACUUCCUGUCCCUCAGUCUACUGUCUGUCCACAAAGCACAGAAGCUGUGUCUCCUCUAGCUCUGUCUUUCUCCAAAGAGGAGGCCAAAGAGGAGAAAGACAAGAAGGCUGGAGAGCAGGGACAAAGUGAAGUUCCUUCUGUUCUCAGAGACAAUGGUGAGCUUCCUACAGUUCUUGAAGAUGGUGGUGAAUUUCCCCCCAUUCUGGGAGGUGACAGCAAAGCUCCAGCAGUGUGGAUCGAGGGUGGCGAAUGUCUUGUGGUGUGGGAUGAGGAGUGGGAACAUCCUGCAGUGCAGGAAAAAGGACAGCAAGGAUCUUGCAGUGUGGGAGGACGAGGUCAAACAUCCAGUGGUGUGUAAAGAGGACAGCAAGCAUCAAGCAAUGUGGGAAGAGGAGGGACGACAUCUCUCUGCACGUGAAGAGCACCGAGUGAUGAACAUCCCAGUGUUCGGGAAGAGGAUGGUGAAGCACCACCAUUUUGGGAAGAGGACAGCGAACCUUCCUCUGUUGAGGCAUCAUGGGCUAAGCAUUCUGACAGCAGCAUAGCCCUGCAGCCAGAGGGGAGAGGAGAGAAGUGCCUGAUGCAGCUGAGGAGCACUGUGAGCAUGGGGGAGCCUGCCAAGAAACACACUGAAGCAGAGCCAGUUGGCCAAGGCCCUGGAUUUCCUUCAUUUGAACCAGGUGAUCCAAAGAAAACUGAAAAGCUCCAGCAUCCUUCUGGGAAUGGAUGGCCCUGUCAAGAGCUGUAACCACUGUCAAGGCUCAUGCUCUGAUGGGGCAGAACAGGACCCGGCGUUGUUGCAGGAAUUGCUCAGCACAGCCUGGAGCCAGGUGAGGAGCGGCGCUGCUCUGCCUGGGAGCUGCUGCAGCUGACCGGGGCAAUGUGAGGGGAGAGCUGAGCCCUGGCAGAGCCCGGAGCAGACUCAGCAUCUGCAAAGCCAAGCUGGAAGGAAGCUUCCAGGAAGCUUGGCAGGGAGAUGUGAUCCCAGCAUACACAUUUGGUGGCCACCUGCGAGCCAAGAGAAGCAUCGGUCUGAGGUCGCUGCCUGCCCUGCCACUCUCCGGGGGUCCCCGAGCAGGUGCUGCCGAAGCCGCCGCUCCCCAGUAGGGAUCCUACUCUGUACUGCUCCUGCAGGGCUUCCUUCGGCUUCCCUGCAGCAUUCGGCCUGGCUCCAGGGACGGCCCCUGACCGCCCAGGACCUGGCUUCUCUAUCGGGUGCCGGCGGCCGAGCGGCGGAGCUCGGGCCGGGGACCUCGGGAGGCGCGGGAGUGUUCGCGGCUCGUGUCCCCUAUGGAGCGACGGCGAGCCAGGCGAA